rnacentral:rRNA from 1 species
GACGAACGCUGGCGGCGUGCCUAAUACAUGCAAGUAGAACGCUGAAGGAGGAGCUUUCUCUUCUUGAUGAUUUGCGAACGGGUGAGUAACGCGUAGGUAACCUGCCUGGUAGCGGGGGAGAACUAUUGGAAACGAUAGCUAAUACCGCAUAACAGUAGAUGUUGCAUGACAUUUGCUUAAAAGGUGCAAUUGCAUCACUACCAGAUGGACGUGCGUUGUAGUAGCUAGUUGGUGGGGUAACGGCUCACCAAGGCGACGAUACAGAGCCGACCUGAGAGGGUGAUCGGCCACACUGGGACCGAGACACCGCCCCGGAUCCUUCGGGAGGCCGCAGUAGGGGAUCCUUCGCAAUGGACGGAAGUCUGGCCGGGCCACGCCGCGUGAGUGAAGAAGGUUUUCGGAUCGUAAAGCUCUGUUGUAAGGGGAGAACGAGUGUGGGAGUUGACAGUUCACACUGUGACGGUAUCUUACCAGAAAGCGAUGGCUAACUACGUG